CUCGAAGAAGCUUCGGAGAAGCCCACUUGCCUAAGACGCCUGUCUCCGAGAUGGCUGAAGGCGGGAGGUCCAGGGAAGGACUCCGAGGCCCAGUGAUUUAGCUGCAUCACCAAAUCUAAAAGUCUGGUUUCCUGAAUGACCAUGUGGAGGUCUUAGCUUCUAGCGCAGCUUCUAACAAUUUCAAAUGGAGAGUGAUGCAUGAAUUUGUAAGAUAAGACACGCAAGACCCUUCAAGAAACGUUUGAUACUGAGUACAUUCUACAAGCCUCCUCUGCCGCAGGAUUCUCAAGGGUGGCAGCCAUCCUCUGUCUGAGGUUGAAGGAUUCAUACCAUUUAAGUGUCUGAACUCAUCAUGAAUUUCAU